rnacentral:rRNA from 1 species
CGUAAGCAACCUGCCCGAAAGACCGGGACAACAGCUCGAAAGGGCUGCUAAUACCGGAUGUGUCCGCUUUGCCUCAUGGCUUGGCGAGUAAAUCAUUUAUGGCUUUCGGAGGGGCUUGCGGCCUAUCAGCUAGAUGGCGGUGUAACGGACCACCAUGGCGACGACGGGUAGCUGGUCUGAGAGGAUGGUCAGCCGGACUGGGACUGAGAUACGGCCCAG